UAGGGUUUGAUCAUGGCUCAGAUUGAACGCUGGCGGCGUGCCUAACACAUGCAAGUCGAGCGGUAACAGGUGUAGCAAUACAUGCUGACGAGCGGCGGACGGGUGAGUAACGCUUGGGAAUCUGCCUGUUAGUGGGGGACAACCCGGGGAAACUCGGGCUAAUACCGCAUACGCACUACGGUGGAAAGCCGGGGACCGCAAGGCCUGGCGCUAACAGAUGAGCCCAAGUCGGAUUAGCUAGUUGGUAGGGUAACGGCCUACCAAGGCGACGAUCCGUAACUGGUCUGAGAGGACGACCAGUCACACCGGAACUGAGACACGGUCCGGACUCCUACGGGAGGCAGCAGUGGGGAAUAUUGGACAAUGGGCGAAAGCCUGAUCCAGCGACGCCGCGUGGGUGAAGAAGGCCUGCGGGUUGUAAAGCCCUUUCGGUGGGGAAGAAAAGCCUCGAGUUAAUACCUCGGGGUCUUGACGUAACCCAUAGAAGAAGCACCGGCUAACUCUGUGCCAGCAGCCGCGGUAAUACAGAGGGUGCGAGCGUUAAUCGGAAUUACUGGGCGUAAAGCGCGCGUAGGCGGCUUUGCAAGUCGGGUGUGAAAUCCCCAGGCUUAACCUGGGAACUGCAUUCGAGACUGCAUUGCUAGAGUAUCGGAGAGGGAAGUGGAAUUUCAGGUGUAGCGGUGAAAUGCGUAGAUAUCUGAAGGAACAUCAGUGGCGAAAGCGACUUCCUGGACGAAUACUGACGCU
rnacentral:rRNA from 1 species